rnacentral:ribozyme from 1 species
UGCCCAGCAACUCCUAUCCCUACCUCCUCGUUGUACCGGCCGGAAACUAUGAGCAACCUAAGGGGAGA